CGACCCCAUCUCAGGCGAGAACACCCGCUGAGUUUAAGCAUAUAAUUGAGUGGAGGAAAAGAAAAUUAAAAGGAUUCCCAUAGUAACGACGAGUGAACCGGGAAGAGCCCAACAUGAAAAUCGGGUGGCAGCACUGCCUGAAUUGUAGUCUAUAUAAGCGUCCUUAGUGGCGGACCGGGCCCAAGUCCCCUGGAAGGGGGCGCUUGAGAGGGCGACAGCCCCGUUGGGCCGGGACCCUGCCGCACCACGAGGCGUUGUCAACGAGUUGGGUUGUUUGGGAAUGCAACUCUAAUCGGGUGGUAAAUUUCGUCCAAGGAUAAAUACGGGCAAGAGACCGAUAGCGAACAAGUACCACAAGGGAAAGAUGAAAAGGACUUUGAAAAUAGAGUUAAAGAGUGCUUGAAAUUGUUGGGAGAGAAGCAUAUGGAGGCAAUCAAUGCAUCUCGGUCGGAUGCGGAAUGACUCAAGCUUGUCCAUCGCUCGACUUGAGGUGCGAACCAACACAUGUUGUUGCAUUGACACAAGCGCGGGUGGAGUACUGCCUGUUAGUUUUCUGUUGUGGCGGUCGAGGAGCGGAGAAAUCAA
rnacentral:ncRNA from 1 species